UCCACAUCUCAUUUAUGUUUCGAAGAAGAUGACAGAAACAUUGAUAAAGGGCAAGCAGUAUCAGCAGACAUAACUCCAUCAACACCUGUUCGACGGUCAAGACGUACAAGACGCAAAUGUGAAUUCACAGAGUACAUUUAUGAAGGAUAUAGUGAAUAGGUACCUGGUCCAUCAACAACACAGUCAACAUCUACAAUGAAUUGCUGUCCAUCAACCAGUACUUGCCUUUGACAAUUGCUCGCUAUCCACAAGUGCUCACCUUCCACAAUUAUUCCAUGCAGUCACCUUAAUGACUUUCACCUCAUCAAUUUCCAGUUAUGAGGUACCUAUUCCAACCACAGUAGUUAACAUCCACAAGUGCUCGCCACCCACAAGUGCUCACCUUCCAGACAUAGUCACCAUAUGCUCUCCAUCCACAAGUGUUUACCUUCGACAAGUAUUUCAUGCUAUCAUCUAAGUAACUUUCAUCUAA